CUGGUUUCAGGGCCUGCUGGAGGAAAGUCCGGGCACCGCAGGGCAGGAUGCUGGAUAACGUCCAGGCGCGGAAACGCGACAGACAGUGCAACAGAAAGCAAACCGCCAGGUUCGGGCGCAAGCUCGGACAGGGACGGCACGGUAAACCUCAUCCGGUGCAAGACCAAGCAGAAUUCCGCUCGCGCAAGCGAGCCUGGAGCGGCCCGCGACAGCUGGAAUUCGGGUAGGUCGCUUGAGGCGGUCGGUAACGAUUCGUCCAGAGAGAUGGUCAUCGCCCCGCAAGGGGUACAGAACCCGGCUUAUAAC
rnacentral:RNase_P_RNA from 1 species